rnacentral:misc_RNA from 1 species
GACUGUUGGCUAUGCUCCUCCAGAGUAUGGAAUGGGUGGCACUCCAUCAAAAGAGGGGGAUGUAUAUAGUUAUGGAAUCCUUUUAUUGGAGAUGAUCUCCGGUAAAAAACCAACAGAUAAAAUAUUUGAAGACCAUUUAAAUUUGCGCAAGUUUGUAAAGGAUGCAUUACCAGAAAGACUUGCACAGAUCAUAGACCCAAUCCUUCUCUUAAGAGGAAUGGAAGAAACACUAGUAACAAAUGCUGAAAUAGAUGGGCAGACAGAAAUACAUGCAGAAGAAGGGUUGAGCAAUGAUGGGAAGCUAAGCCGAACAACUAUUGCUAAAGAGGAAGAUGGCUUGCUUUCAGUAUUCAAAGUUGGAGUAGCCUGUUCAGCAGAAUCACCCAAAGAUAGAAUGAGUAUGAGGGAUGUUGUUAAAGAACUGCAUUUGAUUAGAAGUACUUUCCUCGGAGUUCGAAUCCAUGGUUAAAAACAGGCAAGUAAAACGCAAUUGACUAAAUUAAGUGUUUCUCGUAAGUGUUUGAAUGUCGUCUAAGUAGGUUCAUUUUGAGUAAUUUUGCAUUGCAAGUUAAUCUGAGCUAGUUAUCCGAAUAUUAUAAAAAAGAUUUCAUGCCAAUUUAAAAGUUGGAGGUUAUUUUCAUUCAAAAUGUUAAUUUUUAUUUGAAAUAUUAUUUUCAAAAUUGCUUUGUUCAUUUAAUUGUUAGUCAAUUUUGAGUUGGAUUGUUGGAUCUAGUGAGGAAUUGCCUCCUCUAAGUACAGCUAAAAAUGCUUCCAGCAAGGCAAUUUCAAUUAAUACAGAAAGUUGUUAAUAUAUUGGCUGAUCUUAAUAAUUUCUUUCUUUAAUUUCAGGUGAACAAUACUUACUAAAGAAGUCAUAUGGCUAGCUAGCUAGUAUGUUUCCAUUGUUAAGUCCUUGCAGAGUAUGUAAAGCUGUAGCUAUAUUUUUCUAAAGUUGUGCUGUUAGUUUAAACUUCCUGGACGAUUGUAUUUUCCUUUUAGUAGAAAACCAACAAUAUAGCUAGUCCAUGCCAAUGCAUGUAUAGGCAAAUGGUAUCUAAUUGACGUUUCUUCUAGUGUGCAUCUGGUAAUAAAUCGAUAUUGCUUAACUAUCAGCAAGCAUCGUUAAUUUUUUU